GAGUUGAUCCGGCUCAGAGUGAACGCUGGCGGCGUGCUUAACACAUGCAAGUCGAACGAGAACGGUCCUAGCUUGCUAGGAUGUCAGCUAAGUGGCGGACGGGUGAGUAAUGUAUAGUUAAUCUGCCCUUUAGAGAGGAAUAACUACUGGAAACGGUAGCUAAUACCUCAUACUCCUUCUUUAUUAAUUAAAGUUGGGAAAUGUUUUUUCGCUAAAGGAUGAGACUAUAUGGUAUCAGGUAGUUGGUGGGGUAAGAGCCUACCAAGCCAAUGACGCCUAGCUGGUCUGAGAGGAUGAUCAGCCACACUGGAACUGAGACACGGUCCAGACUCCUACGGGAGGCAGCAGUGGGGAAUAUUGCACAAUGGAGGAAACUCUGAUGCAGCAACGCCGCGUGGAGGAUGACACAUUUCGGUGCGN
rnacentral:rRNA from 1 species